UACAUACGACCUCCGUCUGGAAUUACUUGUCGCAGAAAUAGAUGUAUCUAGACGUAUUUUUAGUUCUAGAUACAUUCAUUUCUGUGACAAGUAAUUCAGGACGGAGGGAGUAUGUU
rnacentral:pre_miRNA from 1 species